GGGGAUGUUUAGGUUUCGACGGAAGUAUUUUGUCUUAGGUCGCAAGUGGAAGGUACUCCUUACGUACAUCCAAAAAAAUAAACGGAAACAAAAUUAAAAAUAUGUUUGCUAACUUAGCUGGUUCAAGAUCAGCAGUAGCCUUUGCCUAAUUUAAUAUAGGAAACAUAGCUUUCUUUAAUCUUUUUCUCAUUGGGAUUUAAGAGGGCUCAUUUAAAUGAGAUAUACUAUUAUUUUGCUUAAGAAUAAUAGUGAAUAUUUUUAAGCUUACUAUGCAAUGGGUUGUUAGUUACUUUCGUUGCAUAGGAAAUUUACUAACUAACUAAACUUGUAGAAGCCUAAGAUGUAGUAUUUUCGGACAGGAGUUCGAAUCUCCUCAUCUCCACCA
rnacentral:tmRNA from 1 species